GACGAACGCUGGCGGCGUGCUUAACACAUGCAAGUCGAACGGAAAGGCCCUGCUUUUGUGGGGUGCUCGAGUAGCGAACUGGUGAGUAACAAGUGAGUAACCUGACCUUGACUUUGGGAUAACUUCAGGAAACUGGGGCUAAUACCGGAUAGGAGCUCCUGCUGCAUGGUGGGGGUUGGAAUGUUUCGGUGGUUGGGGAUGGACUCGCGGCUUAUCAGCUUGUUGGUGGGGUAGUGGCUUAUCAAGGCUUUGACGGAUUCCUGGCCUGAGGGGGUGACCGGCCACAGUGAGACAUAGAUAGGGCCCUGAAUCCUUCGGGAGGCAGCAGUAGAGAAUAUUGCACAAUGGGCGGAGGCCUUAUGUAGGAACGCCGCUUGCGGGAGGACAGCAUUCGGGUAGUAACACGCUUUCGACUGGGACGAAGAGUGAGUGACGGUAAUGGAUAAAGAAGCACCGGCUAACUACGUG
rnacentral:rRNA from 1 species